rnacentral:lncRNA from 1 species
UUCAUCUCAACACCUGUUCAUCUUUGCACUACGGGCCAAAGAUAUUCAUUAUAAAAUUAUUCAUCUUUGCACUACAGGCCAAAGAUAUUCAGUUAUAUCAUCAUUUAGGACUGAGGAUGAUGAAAAAUAUUUUAAAGAAAACGAAUCCAGUGAAACAAAAGAACAAGUAUUAAGGAUUCGUAUUUUAAAUAACCCAAGUUCAACAUACUUCAUAAAUAACCAGAGUGAAGUAAAAUUCAAGAAUGAAGACUAAAACAUAGAUCCAAUCAAAGAUAGGAAUCAUAACAAACAAUCUUGGAUACAGAAAAGAAAAUUUAAUUUUUCUGUGAAUAGUGCCGUAUACGUGAAUAGUGUCGUAUACGUGAUUAGUAAAUCCGACACUAAAAGAUAGAAAUUUCACAAAAAAAUAUCAUCAUGCUUCGUGAAUAGUACUCAUGAAUAGUAACUCGUGAAUAGUAACUCAUGAAUAGUAACUCAUGAAUAGUAACCCCGACAUGAAAAAUUUCCAAAUUUGAUAAAAAGUUCCAGCCAAUAUUUUGGCAUAAUGAUAUUGAAGAAAUAAUAUCGUUUUUUAAAAAAUAAUAUCCCUUACCUCCAAAAAGACAGUACUUCUGACUGGAAUACUGGAUAUAGUGC